CCUACGGGGUGCAGCAGUGAGGAAUAUUGGUCAAUGUCCGAGAGGCUGAACCAGCCAAGUCGCGUGAGGGAAGACGGCCCUACGGGUUGUAAACCUCUUUUGUCGGGGAGCAAAGCGAACCACGUGUGGUUCAUUGAGAGUACCCGAAGAAAAAGCAUCGGCUAACUCCGUGCCAGCAGCCGCGGUAAUACGGAGGAUUCGAGCGUUAUCCGGAUUUAUUGGGUUUAAAGGGUGCGCAGGCGGAGUGGCAAGUCAGCGGUAAAAUUGCGGGGCUCAACCCCGUACUGCCGUUGAAACUGCAUCCCUUGAGUGCGCGAGAAGUAUGCGGAAUGCGUGGUGUAGCGGUGAAAUGCAUAGAUAUCACGCAGAACUCCGAUUGCGAAGGCAGCAUACCGGCGCGCAACUGACGCUCAUGCACGAAAGCGUGGGUAUCGAACAGGAUUAGAUACCCUGGUAGUC
rnacentral:rRNA from 1 species